AACUACUAUGUCGGCAACGAGCGCGCCAUGCUCCUGCCCAACUGCUUGUUCCGCGUCGGCGGAGUGGCCGCGAUACUGUCGACGUCCCCCGUGAACGCCCGGUUCCGCCUCAAGCAUGUCGUGCGCACCUUGACCGGCGCGAACGACGACAGCGCGUACCGGUGCGUGUUCCAGGAAGAGGACGACCAAGGGAACGUCGGGAUCAACCUCAGCAAGAACCUGAUGGCCGUCGCCGGGAGCUCCCUCCAAGCCAACAUCACGGAGAUCGGGCCGCUCGUCCUACCCUUCUCCGAGCAGCUUCUAUUCGUCCUCUCCUUCGUCGCACGCAAGCUGCUUCGCGGCGCGCGGGUCAAGCAGCCCUACAUCCCGGACUUCUCCACGGCGUUCGAGCACCUGUGCAUUCACGCCGGCGGCCGCGCCGUCAUAGACCAGCUGCAAGAAAAGCUCGGCCUCUCCGACGAGCAGGUGGAGGCGUCGCGGAUGACACUGCACCGGUUCGGAAACACGUCGAGUAGCUCGCUAUGGUACGAGCUCGCCUACAUCGAGGCCAAAGGCCGAAUGCGCAAGGGCGACCGCGUUUGGAUGAUCGGCUUUGGCUCAGGGUUCAAGUGCAACAGCGUGGUGUGGGAGUGCAUCCAACCAGCUGCCCGCCACACCCAUGGGCCGUGGACCACCUCUAUCCACAGGUAUCCGGUGGACAUUGCCGACGUGCUAAAAUAA
rnacentral:rRNA from 1 species